rnacentral:rRNA from 1 species
GAUGAACGCUGGCGGCGUGCCUAAUACAUGCAAGUCGAGCGAACGGACGAGAAGCUUGCUUUUCUGAUGUUAGCGGCGGACGGGUGAGUAACACGUGGAUAACCUACCUAUAAGACUGGGAUAACUUCGGGAAACCGGAGCUAAUACCGGAUAAUAUUUUGAACCGCAUGGUUCAAAAGUGAAAGACGGUCUUGCUGUCACUUAUAGCUGGAUCCGCGCUGCAUUAGCUAGUUGGUAAGGUAACGGCUUACCAAGGCAACGAUGCGUAGCCGACCUGAGAGGGUGAUCGGCCACACUGGAACUGAGACACGGUCCAGACUCCUACGGGAGGCAGCAGUGGGGAAUCUUGCACAAUGGGCGAAAGCCUGACGGAGCAACGCCGCGUGAGUGAUGAAGGUCUUCGGAUCGUAAAGCUCUGUUGUUAGGGAAGAACAGAUGUGUAAGUAACUGUGCAUGUCUUGACGGUACCUAAUGAGAAAGCCACGGCUAACUACGUG